CGCGCGCUCAGUCCUGUGCUUCGGCACUCCUGUCUCGGCGCCAUGAAAUUCAUUAUAAUCGAAUGCAGCGCUAAAUCCGUAAUUCGGUGGGAUGCCGCGACACUAGAGUACGUUGAGAGUUGUUGAUGUAAUUAGGGCAUGAGGCUCGUGGAUCGAAUUAGUGUUGCUUCGCAAUGAAAUCGAUCAUAUCGAGAUUUCAUGGUGGAUACUGUGAUCGGUCCCGGAAGGCGGAUCCCUUUGCGUGAUUCGAUGACUGCUUUGGCAUAGGGUCCGAGCAUGUGCGGCUACUAUAUACGUUGCUUGGCGUCGAUUUAACUUGGUGAUGGGGCGAGUGAUUGGAAAUGCUUUGCGGAGACACGAGGGAUCGGCUGGCGGGAGAGUGCAGAUCUAACCGAUAACGAACGAUUUGUUGCUGUCGUGGAAAUAGGCUUUUGAAGGUUAUAAUUUUCUCUUGGGAUGAAUGCCAUUAACGGUCAUCCUUCGAAGCAUAAGUAACGCUCGCGGUUAAAGAUUUUGGCUUCACAGGCGAACUUUCUAAAUCUACAUUCAUCGAUUUUGCCUUAGUAUCCUAAUGAACAUUGUGAGGAUUAGCAUGUGUGAUAACAUCAGUUUUCAACAAGUUAAUCUUCGCACAUUGUGUAUGUAUUAUUGAUACUUAAGUGAUGCCUUUCGCUGCGCAUUAUUAAUUCCAAUGCUGCAAACACCGAUUUGCAGGCAAAUUUCUGCUGCAUCAUCCUACUGUUUCUCCACUUAAGAGAAUCUGAAAGGAGAAAUUAUCGUGUGCCAUGUCGACCCCAGCUGCUUCCCGUAUGUGUAGAUCUCUUCUUCGUGAUAUGGAUUGCACUUUUUAGUCCCCGGGAGCGAUGGUGCAAAACCUGAUGCUCAUGGCACUAGCAUCAAGAGCUUUACGGAAAUGAGCAAGCAAGACUAUACUGGUUUGGACAAUGUGAUAUAUGUUCCCCUAACUUGGUGAUAUAUUCACAAGGCUCGAUGUCAUCGUUGACUAUACAGGAUUGGCAUCAAAGACUUUGCAAAUAUAUUUCUGCUAUGAUAUUUAUAUACAGAACUACUAAAGGAAACGGUGAAAAUUUUGAUGCAGUUGGAAGCUACAACAAAUCCAUGAUUUGGUAAACUCCUGUGAAAAAAUUGUCCUGCUGAGCAUGUACUUGGUGACGACGCCUCGAGGCCUUCUGAGGUACUGCUGCACGGGCAGUAUCAAUUUUUUAAAUUGCAAGUUUCAAAAAUAUGUUUUUGUUCUUCUGGAUACUUUCUGUGCGUGGAUUAUGAGUGAAGCUAUCCCCAGGUUUGCUGAUGCUAAGGUAAACUAGGAGCUUGAUCGUGCCAUCGAAUAAGUUGGAAUAGCUACCCCGACCUUUCCCAAAAUUGUGAAUAAAUGGUUGAACUGAUGCUCCUAUUUUCAAAACAUAAUUGUAAUGUUCUACCUCAUCGAAUACCUCAUCGAAUCAUUGGAAUACCUCAUCGAAUCAAUGUUCAUUUGUAGUUACCAAUUUUUCGACUUCUGUCCACUCCGCCAAAUUAGAGUGUUUAUUUGCGGUCUUGGAUCACGUUCUCUUUGUAGUGUAUGAGCCUCCGAGUCGGUGACUGCUUACAUCGAAGACGGGAAGUGAAAGGGGCGAGGCGGUAAUUUUGUUCCUGCAACAACAAAUCAAAGUCACGUUUGAAAACAAGUUGAUGAUCCGGGUCAAAAGGA